rnacentral:rRNA from 1 species
UACGGAGGGGGCUAGCGUUGUUCGGAAUUACUGGGCGUAAAGGGCUCGUAGGCGGCCAACUAAGUCAGACGUGAAAUCCCUCGGCUUAACCGGGGAACUGCGUCUGAUACUGGUUGGCUUGAAUCCGGGAGAGGGAUGUGGAAUUCCAGGUGUAGCGGUGAAAUGCGUAGAUAUCUGGAGGAACACCGGUGGCGAAGGCGGCAUCCUGGACCGGUAUUGACGCUGAGGAGCGAAAGCCAGGGGAGCAAACGGG